AGUGAACGCUGGCGGUAGGCCUAACACAUGCAAGUCGAACGGCAGCACAGUAAGAGCUUGCUCUUACGGGUGGCGAGUGGCGGACGGGUGAGUAAUACAUCGGAAUCUACUUUUUCGUGGGGGAUAACGUAGGGAAACUUACGCUAAUACCGCAUACGACCUACGGGUGAAAGCAGGGGAUCUUCGUACCUUGCUCGAUUGAAUGAGCCGAUGUCGGAUUGGCUAGUUGGCGGGGUAAAGGCCCACCAAGGCGACGAUCCGUAGCUGGUCUGAGAGGAUGAGCAGCCACAAUGGAACUGAGACACGGUCCAGACGCCUACGGGAGGCAGCAGUGGGGAAGAUUGGAGAAUGGGCGCAAGCUUGAGACAGCCAGGCCGAGGGGGUGAAGAAGGCCUUCGGGUUGUAAAGCCCGUUUGGUGGGAAAGAAAAGCAGCAGGUUAAUACCCCGAUGUACGGAGGGUAACCAAAGAAUAAACAGCGACGAACAUCGG
rnacentral:rRNA from 1 species